UUCCAAUGAAGAUACCUUUGUCCAGUUCUGCUACUGAAUGGAUAGAGAUGAUAACUUCUGAAAACUGAGGAAA